AGCGAACGCUGGCGGCAGGCUUAACACAUGCAAGUCGAGCGGGCACUUCGGUGUCAGCGGCAGACGGGUGAGUAACACGUGGGAACGUACCCUUCGGUUCGGAAUAACGCUGGGAAACUAGCGCUAAUACCGGAUACGCCCUUUUGGGGAAAGGUUUACUGUCGAAGGAUCGGCCCGCGUCUGAUUAGCUAGUUGGUGGGGUAAUGGCCUACCAAGGCGACGAUCAGUAGCUGGUCUGAGAGGAUGAUCAGCCACACUGGGACUGAGACACGGCCCAGACUCCUACGGGAAGCAGCAGUGGGGAAUAUUGGACAAUGGGCGCAAGCCUGAUCCAGCCAUGCCGCGUGAGUGAUGAAGGCCUUAGGGUUGUAAAGCUCUUUUGUCCGGGACGAUAAUGACGGUACCGGAAGAAUAAGCCCCGGCUAACUUCGUG
rnacentral:rRNA from 1 species